rnacentral:rRNA from 1 species
AGCCGCGUCAGUGAUGACGGCCUUCGGGUUGUAAAGCUCUGUCUUCGGGGACGAUAAUGACGGUACCUGAGGAGGAAGCCACGGCUAACUACGUGCCAGCAGCCGCGGUAAUACGUAGGUGGCAAGCGUUGUCCGGAUUUACUGGGCGUAAAGGGAGCGUAGGCGGACUUUUAAGUGAGAUGUGAAAUACCCGGGCUCAACCUGGGUGCUGCAUUUCAAACUGGAAGUCUAGAGUGCAGGAGAGGAGAGUGGAAUUCCUAGUGUAGCGGUGAAAUGCGUAGAGAUUAGGAAGAACACCAGUGGCGAAGGCGACUCUCUGGACUGUAACUGACGCUGAGGCUCGAAAGCGUGGGGAGCAAACAGGAUUAGAUACCUGGUAGUCA